UACGGGGGGGGCAAGCGUUGUUCGGAAUUACUGGGCGUAAAGGGCUCGUAGGUGGCCAACUAAGUCAGACGUGAAAUCCCUCGGCUUAACCGGGGAACUGCGUCUGAUACUGGAUGGCUUGAGUUCGGGAGAGGGAUGCGGAAUUCCAGGUGUAGCGGUGAAAUGCGUAGAUAUCUGGAAGAACACCCGUGGCGAAGGCGGUUCUCUGGGACGGUACUGACGCUGAGACGCGAAAGCGUGGGGAGCGAACAGG
rnacentral:rRNA from 1 species